UCUAAGCAACGUCAGUGUGCCACGACCCACGAUGCAGUCAAUGUGCAGAGAAAGUACAUCUUGGUCUCACCGGUGGCUCUACAGAAGCCCACCCACACAAGCUACGCAGCAGCUCCACGGUCAUGUGGAGCACAACAUCGACAUGUUGACCAGUCCGAUGACCACCAGCCCCGGAACUCCAGUGUUGGAAUAAGCUAAUUCGUCUUCUCGAGCUUGCAGCUGCCUUCGAAAGCCGUAGGUCAGUUCUUCUGCAGUCAGGUCUGCGAGUCUGUGGCUCCGGCAUGAUCAUUUUCUAGGAUUUCCUUAAUUUUCCAGAUACUUCACAAUUCAUAUUUGAAGAGCUUGAUAAUUGCAAGUAUUUUCCCUCUGCAUAUUACAAGGUAUUUGUGAUGUUCAACAUACAGGGCUGCAGAGUAUGAUUUUGAUUGCCGUUGGAAAUUGCAAUCUCAUAAGCCACUUUGUUGUUCCUAACUUUGUAGUUGGCUUGCAAUUUUGCAUCUACCAGAAUGAUAUGGUGUCCUCAUAUCAGGACCUUAAAACUUAAAAUCACAAAAAAAUAUCAGGUUAUGUUAGCAUAUGAUUCGCACAUCAGUUUUCCAUUUUAUGAUUUUCAGUAAUUUUGAUAAACUCACCUAUAUAUAUGCAUGAACAUGCUACAUUUAGCUUUAAAAAAUUAAUAUCAGCAUUGCAAUUAGGACUAGCGAAUAGAGCGAUGAGCAAGUUGUAUAUGGAUGAUGACCUUAUCUCAAAUUUAUAUCUUAGGGGUUACUUUUAUCUGCACUACAAAUGGCAUUAGACGUUUCCUCUGUUGAAACUACAAUAAGUAUCAGCAAGAUGGUUGUAUCAAACUGACAAAUAAUUGCAUGUUUUUCUUGAUAUAUAUGAUAAACAUGUGGUACAUAGCUAGCUAGAAAGAAAUGCACGUUUUUCUUAAUAUCUAUUAAUACCCUGUGCUACCUAGCUAGCUGUAAAGAUAAGUCACUGUUAAAUAAUUAUACAUGUGCAUACCUCUGAAAUAGAAACAUACUUAGCUUCUCCUGCUAGCCAAGAAGAUACUUUUAUAACUGUUACUAUCUGAAUUGAUUUUUUUUACUAAAUGCUUGAUUGUUUCAAGUCUAAACCAAAAAAAGACUAAACUGAACCAUUUUUGGUGCAAGAUAGAAGACCUAUAUAUACAUAAUCAGUUGUCGAGUAACUGAACUUCAUUGCUUGACCAGGACCUGACUAACUAAGCAACUUCAUACUUCUGAUAUCUCUAACCAGAUUUCGUUAGCUUAGUAGGAAAUUAUAUAAUUUUAAUUCCAGUGGUCAUGCUUACUAUUUAAUUUCACCAUAUUAUGAUGGGGAAUUUGUUGUGACUCUCCAUAGAGCUUCAUCCCGAGAUACUAUAAUUGUACUAUCCGUCAGAAUGAUUGUUCCUCAGCUUUCAAGUAUCUCAUGAUUUCUUUUCCUGAAUUGCAUGGGACUCAUGUCACAGUUACGGUUUCGUUUCUCAUUUAUAAAGAUAUAUACCUUGCAGUCGUGAAGCUUUUGUAAGUGUAAGCAUAAGCCCUUUUGAUGUUGCAGCCAGUGAAAACAUUAUUGUUUACACUUCAGAGUUCCUAAUUCAGCAGGCUGGGUUGCGAAAACCCAGGAAUACUAUCACGUCUGAUUGAAAAAAUUCUAUGGAUUAGAAAUACAUUUUCUUGUGUUACAUUAUGUGCAUUGCCAAAGGAGUGUACCACUACGAAAGCUAAGGAGUUCAUUCAUUGCAACAAGAGAUAAAAAUAACUGUACAUUCCGAGGUUAUCGUAUCUUUACUGGUUUUGGUAAGUAUUUUAUCAAGAUUAAGCAUCUUAUUAAAUAUUUUUUCCAUUAGUUUUUAUGCACCCCACAUUCUCUGAGUAAUUUAUUGGGCAUUCGAAUUCAAAUGCAUGUAAUAUCACUUUUUAACGGUAAUACAUGUGCUUUUAGACAUGUUUAUGCACUCUUAGUUGUCUAAUAUAACGUGGACAUUCAUCGUUUGCUAAAUUGGAAUUCAGUUUUGAGUUUUCUCAUGAAAGAAUAUUGCCGCCGCUGUGAACCUUUAGCCAUCAGAAAUUCAGGAUACAUAUGCUCCGUUUUAGUGAAUAACUUAACCAUAUCAGGGACACCUAAAGGGUUUUUGUCCAUAUUGUAAUUUCUAUAGGCAUAGCAUAUAAGAUUGGCGAUUCGCAUUUUCCUUGGCAUUUUGUGUCUAAUGUUCAAAUAUCUAGGAUGUUUUCUUCAGUAUUCACAAACCAACUUUAUAUUCUUUAGUAUCACGCGAUAUCAAAUAGGUAGUGUACUGUCUUUUCUGAAUGCAAUGUUUUAGAAUUUACUUAUUUGUCUUUUAGGACAUAACACAUGACAAUUGAACUAUUAUUUCCUUUAGUUGUGCUUUUUUAUUCGAACCAUGCAGGACCACUGCAUGUGAUCUAUUAAGGAGAAGGCUGCAAGGAGCCGAGUACACGACCAAAAAGUACAUAUCAGCGAUGAACAGAAGAACAUAAGAAAGAGAGAGCAAAAUGAGCUGUCACGCCCGCUGAUCUAAACUGUGAACAAAAGCAAGAACCUGGAACCUAUGCUUCUAGGCUGAACCUUGCCAUUGCUCUCAUUCAGCCUGGAGAAUUAAGAAACGACCCUUGCUGGCUUUAGCCCAAAGUCUCGCGCCAGUUUUGGUUUGAUCGACAAUUUUUUGGAUGGUCUUGAACUCUUUUCUGAAAACUCUGCCAUUCCUCUCUUGCCAGAUCGCUCAAGUAGUAAGAAACACCAUUAUGUUCAAUAUUUUCUUCUCGGGUGACUAUAUGCGUGCUUUUUAGGAGCAUAUGAUGAGUCGCCGUAUUUAUCUUCGGGGUGCAGCAAAUUGGGUGUGCAGGUGCAAGUUUAUCAGCUGCCCCGGAAUCUGGAUUGUCCAACAUGACAUUAAACAGUGGCUCGUGGAUGAGAUAUCUCAAAUCAAACCGUGGCACUUAACUAUUUCUCAAGCUGAUGCUCUGGUGGUUUAUGUGUAUUGUGAUCUAAGAUCUUCAAUUUUGUCCACAUCAUUGGAGGUGAUACCGUUUCAAUUGGCCCGUCUUUAUCUGCAUCACAUGGGAUUGGUGAUCGUUCUUUCAAUGACAUUCUAUUUUGUUAUUUCCUAUACAGCCAUACAAGUAAGAGCGCCCUUUAUCGAAAAUACAGCCACACAAGUUAGUCCUCUCCCUUUUUUGUAAGGAAGUUCAUCGAAUUCUAUGUCAGGUUUACUACAUAGGAGGUACUUCGAGUCCCGUUGGUCAUGUUUGAUGUAGGCCACUAUUUAAUUUAUUUUCCCCACUUGUGUUUCUUGCAGGCCAACUGAUGUCCAGCACUAAAUCCCUUUCGACGAUAAAGAAGAGCUCACUCCAGUUUGGUGCCUUCCCACGCCAACCAAUCAAAGAGCUCAUCGUCCUCUCCUUUGAUGACGAUGAAGAAGACAAACCCCAUAACAGAAAACCCAAAGACAAACUGGAGUGGGAAGACUACACCACCUCUUUUAAGUUUGUCAUCAGAAAUAUGAUCACCUAUGGACUAGGCACUGGGAAAGAACUAGAUAGUGUCUGGAUGAAGAAGUGAAGUUCGUGCAUGCCUGCAAGCAGUUUGAGAAGGCGCUAUUGUGCAGCUUCUCUCUUGUUGACUAUAGUCUAGACCUUCUUUAGAGAACUUAUAUCUUGGGCAGGGCCGGUCCAUACAUUUUCAGGACCCUGGGCGAGAUAAUAAAAUUAGGGCCCUUGUUGACAAAAAAAAUAUAAUACAUUGUAUUCCAAAAUCAACCCAACAUAUAUCGAUGGUAUUUGAAGUGUUGAGAUUCUACCGGUUCA